GACGAACGCUGGCGGCGUGCUUAACACAUGCAAGUCGAACGGAAAGGCCCUGCUUUUGUGGGGUGCUCGAGUGGCGAACGGGUGAGUAACACGUGAGUAACCUGCCCUUGACUUUGGGAUAACUUCAGGAAACUGGGGCUAAUACCGGAUAGGAGCUCCUGCUGCAUGGUGGGGGUUGGAAAGUUUCGGCGGUUGGGGAUGGACUCGCGGCUUAUCAGCUUGUUGGUGGGGUAGUGGCUUACCAAGGCUUUGACGGGUAGCCGGCCUGAGAGGGUGACCGGCGAAAUUGGGACUGAGAUACGGCCCAGACUCCUACGGGAGGCAGAAGUGGGGAAUAUUGCACAAUGGGCGGAAGCCUGAUGCAGCAACGCCGCGUGCGGGAUGACGGCCUUCGGGUUGUAAACCGCUUUCGCCUGUGACGAAGAGUGAGUGACGGUAAUGGGUAAAGAAGCACCGGCUAACUACGUG
rnacentral:rRNA from 1 species